rnacentral:snRNA from 1 species
UUGGUCCUGUUAUUGCUACAAAU